rnacentral:rRNA from 1 species
GGUUAUCGAUGGGGAUGCGUUCCAUUAGGCAGUUGGUGAGGUAACGGCUCACCAAACCUUCGAUGGAUAGGGGUUCUGAGAGGAAGGUCCCCCACAUUGGAACUGAGACACGGUCCAAACUCCUACGGGAGGCAGCAGUGAGGAAUAUUGGUCAAUGGGCGCAGGCCUGAACCAGCCAAGUAGCGUGAAGGAUGACUGCCCUAUGGGUUGUAAACUUCUUUUAUAUGGGAAUAAAGUUUUCCACGUGUGGAAUUUUGUAUGUACCAUAUGAAUAAGGAUCGGCUAACUCCGUGCCAGCAGCCGCGGUAAUACGGAGGAUCCGAGCGUUAUCCGGAUUUAUUGGGUUUAAAGGGAGCGUAGGUGGACAGUUAAGUCAGUUGUGAAAGUUUGCGGCUCAACCGUAAAAUUGCAGUUGAUACUGGCUGUCUUGAGUACAGUAGAGGUGGGCGGAAUUCGUGGUGUAGCGGUGAAAUGCUUAGAUAUCACGAAGAACUCCGAUUGCGAAGGCAGCUCACUGGACUGCAACUGACACUGAUGCUCGAAAGUGUGGGUAUCAAACAGGAUUAGAUACCCUGGUAGUCCACACAGUAAACGAUGAAUACUCGCUGUUUGCGAUAUACAGUAAGCGGCC